rnacentral:rRNA from 1 species
UGGGGAAUAUUGGACAAUGGGGGGAACCCUGAUCCAGCCAUGUCGCGUGUGUGAAGAAGGCCUUAUGGUUGUAAAGCACUUUAAGCGAGGAGGAGGGUACUGGUAUUAAUACUACCAGGUACUGGACGUUACUCGCAGAAUAAGCACCGGCUAACUCUGUGCCAGCAGCCGCGGUAAUACAGAGGGUGCGAGCGUUAAUCGGAUUUACUGGGCGUAAAGCGUGCGUAGGCGGCUAAUUGAGUCGGAUGUGAAAUCCCCGAGCUUAACUUGGGAACUGCAUUCGAUACUGGUUAGCUAGAGUGUGGGAGAGGAUGGUAGAAUUCCAGGUGUAGCGGUGAAAUGCGUAGAGAUCUGGAGGAAUACCGAUGGCGAAGGCAGCCAUCUGGCCUAACACUGACGCUGAGGUACGAAAGCAUGGGGAGCAAACAGG